GACAGAGGGGGCAAGCGUUGCUCGGAAUCACUGGGCGUAAAGGGCGCGUAGGCGGGAUGGCAAGUCAGUCGUGAAAUCUCUCGGCUCAACCGAGAAACGUCGGCUGAUACUGCCGUUCUUGAGGGAUGCAGAGGAGACUGGAAUUCCCGGUGUAGCGGUGAAAUGUGUAGAGAUCGGGAGGAACGCCGGUGGCGAAAGCGACUGUCUGGGGUGCCUGUGACGCUGAGGCGCGAAAGCCAGGGGAUCAAACGGG
rnacentral:rRNA from 1 species